CAGGAAAGGGAAAGGAAUAAAGGGCAUACAAAUCAGAAAAGAAAGAGAUCAAACUAUGCCUGUUUGCAGGUCAUAUGACUCUCAUGUUGUAAAAUGAAUGUUAAAACAUCAAGACCAUUACAUACACAAAUAACUGCCAAGCUGAGAAUCAAAUCAAGAACUUGGUGCCAUUUACAAUGGCUAUGAAAGCAAAUAAAAUACCAAAGAAUAUGCUUAACCAAGAAGGUCAAUCAUACCUCCAAGACGAACUGCAAAACACUGAUGAAAGAAAUUGUAGAAGAUGCCAAUGAAUGGAACAAUAUCCCAUGAUCAUAAAUUGGAAUAAUCAAUAUUGCAAACAUGACCAUACUGCCCACAGCAGUCCACAGAUUCAAUAGUGUUGGGGACUGACAUGAUCCUUUCCUGGUUUAAGAAUUAAAUUUAGUGAGUAAUGUACGAGCUCUGCCCAGAGCGUUUGAGAGUAAUGUGUUCCGGACAAGGUCCCUGUGACAAACAAGGUUACUCCCUAGAGGCAUAACAAAGAACCUGAGUUUCUGCAAGUAAGCAAGGGCUGCCCAGCCCCGCAGCAGUGGGGGACUGGAGGCCACACGAUAAGCACAUUGUUCCUGUGUUGCUGCUUUGCCGCAUAAGAUGGCUGGUUAGUCAAUGAUGGGUAAGAUCCCUCAAGGGAGGGAACCAUGGCUGCCUUGCCCAACCUUGCAAAUCUUGGUCAGUGAUCUCCUGGCACCUAGAGCAACCACCUGGAAACCUUGAGUCAGGGGACAUGUGUCCUUAAGGCUACGUGUUCUGGAAUUUAUGGCCACUGCUGUAAUGCUUGGGUGGUCACAUACAGGGAACUAACAUUAACUUUUCAGAGUAUAAAAAUAAACUGACCCAGUGCAUUCAGCACUUGAGUCAUGUAACUGUUUUUGUGUGUGUCUGUGUCUUUCUUUUUGUCUUUCUUUUAUGUUCUGUGUUCAUCCUCUGUCCUGUAAACAGGCCACAGCACAAUAGCAUUCCUAUUAAAACACCCUAGUCAUUCUCCAAAAACUGGGGGAAAAAAUCCUAUUUUUCUUAUGGAGGCAAAAUCAACCCCAAAUACUCAAAGCAACCCUAAAUACAACAAACAAGUGUGGAGGCAUCACUUUACCUGACUUCAAAUUAUCCUAUAAACUGUAGUAAACAAAACAGGAGAGUAAUAUAUAAAAUUAAACACACAAUGAGUAGAACAGAAUAGAGAAAGUAUAAAAGCAGAAAUAUAUACCUACAAGCAGCAGAUCGUCCAGAAUGCAGUAGAAAAUACAGACUGUGGGAAAGAAUUCCCUGUUCAAUACGCAGUGCCAGAGGAGGCUGUGGGGCUUCAGAGAGCUGCACAGGCUGCGCAUCCUGUGCUUGGUGGAGAUGCCCAACUGGGGAACUCACCCAGAGGACAGCGCCAUGCUAGUUUCCACAGACGAGUUGACCCAUACAAAGAGGAUGUAAGCAACAAGAUAAAGAACACAAAAUUGUUGUGGAUGAGCUGUCUAACCUGAAGAAGAAUAGGAAAGUAUAUAAGCAGCAACAGAACAGCAACAUAUUCUUUCUUACAGACUGAACAGAAAUGCUUUCCCAAAGCAAAAACACAAUAGAUGAACUGAAAAAAGAAUACCAAGAAAUAAAAAUCUCAGAGAAGACCAAAAUCAAGAAGUAAUCAACCUGAUAUCAUGUAACAAUGUGUGGUAUUUUUUGUUCUCUAAGCUUUCCAUUGAUAAUUUCAGUAAAGAUUUAAAAGAGGAUUUACUGUAUAAUCUAAGUGAUGGGGACCAGUAGUAGUAAACAACUGUUAAAGUCUGAUGUUCACUACCAGUGUUUAUUUUCUGGCCACGUCCUUCACUUGAGAGGUGUUAUGACUGCCCAGCCCCUGGAAGAUGAAAGAGGCAAUGUGUUCCUUUGGAAUGGAGAAGUCUUUAGUGGAAUAAAGUUUGAAGCUGAAGAGAAUGAUACUCAAAUUAUGUUUAAUUAUCUUUCCUCUUUUAAGAAUGAAUCUGACAUUUUGUCACUCUUCUCAAAAGUCCAAGGUCCUUGGUCUUUUAUAUAUUAUCAAGCAUUUACUCCUUAUUUAUGGUUUGGUAGGGAUUAUUUUGGUCGCCACAGCUUGAAUGGCAUUUUAGUAAAUUGGGCAAGAGUUUCUGCCUCUCUUCAGUUAGUACCCAAACAUCAGGAAUGGCAAAUCAGUGGCAAGAAGUUCCAGUAUCUGGAGUUUUCAGAAUUGAUCUUAAGUCUCCUACCAUUUCCAGAUAUGUGAUAUUAAAAUUGUAUCCUUGGAAAUAUAUUUCUAGGGAGAAUAUUGUUGAAGAAUGUGUUAAUAGCCUGACUCAGAUGUCAGCAGACUUACCAGCAUUUGUAUCAGUGGUAGCAAAUGAAGCCAAACUAUAUCUUGAAAAACCUACUAUCCCUUUAAAUAUGUUGUUGCCACAAGCUCCAUCAGAGACUCAUUGCAGUAAUAUUUCCAGCAUCCCAACUACAAGAGAGACACUUCAGGUCUUUCUUGCUGGUGGACACAUAGAGGAAGUAGUUCAGCACCUUACUGAUGUCCUGAGUGUUGCAGUCAAGAGACGUGUCUUGUGUUUACCUAGGGAUGAAAACCUGGCACCAAAUGAAGUUUUGCAAACUUGUGAAAGGAAAGCAAAUGUUGCAAUCCUGUUUUCUGGGGACAUUGAUUCCAUGGUUAUUGCAACCUUUGGUGACCAUCAUAUUCCCUAGAUGAACUAAUUUUCUUACUGUAGCUUUCAUGACUGGAGAAAAGACCAUACCAACCAGCUUUAACAAAAAAAUGAGUAAACAGAAAAAUCAUUGUGAAAUGCCUUCUGAAGAAUUCUCUAAAAAUGUUGCUGACAGUGAUGGUGACCGUCCUGAUAAACAAUUCAAUGUACCAGAUCAAAUUACAGGAAGAGCAGGACUAAAAUAACUACAAGUUAUUAACCCUUCCUGAAUUUGGAAUUUUGUUGAAAUCAACGUUUCUUUGGAAGCACCGCAGAUUAAGAACAAAAAUAUGUCACUUGAUUCAGCCCUUGGAUACAGUUUUGGAUGAUAGCAUUGGCUGUGCAGUCUGGUUUGCUUCUAGAGGAAUUGGUUGGUUAGUGACCCAGGGUGAAGUGAAAUCAUAUCAGAGCAGUUCAAAGUUAGUUCUCACUGGACUUGGUGCAGAUGAGCAACUGGCAGGUUAUUCUCAUCAUCAUGUCUGCUUUCAGACACAUGGGCUGGAAGGAUUGAGUAAGGAAAUCAGGAAGGAACUGGGGUGAAUUUCUUCUAGAAAUCUUUGUCAUGAUGUAAAAGUUAUUGGUGAUCAUGGAAAAGAAGGAAGAUUUCCUUUCCUGGAUGAAAAUGUUGUCUCCUUUCUAAAUUCCCUACCAGUUUGGGAAAAGGCAAACUUGCCUUUACCCUGUGGAAUUGGCAAAAAACUAAUUUUAUGCCUUGCAGCUGUCGAACUUGGUCUUACUGCCUCUACUCUUCUGCCAAAAAGGGCCACGCAAUUUGGAUCAAGAAUUGCAAAGAUAGAAAAGAAUAAUGAAAAGACAUCUGAUAAACGUGAAAGGCUCCAAGUCAUUUCCUGAUAAAAUCUAUCUAUUGAAAAGUAGAUUAAAUCAUAAUAUGAUUUCACAAUGUAACAAUACUGAAUGACACUUACAUAAAAAUAAAAUACUUUGCUGUUUAAAAAAAAUACACAGUACCAGGAAAAUUAGAUCUACACACAUAAGAAUGAAACAGGAUCCAUAUCUGUUACCAAAUAUAUAAAGGCAUGAUAAGUCACAAAAUUACAAGUAAGAACUACCAUAAUAAAGUUCAACCAAAAACAAAUAAAUAAAUAGGAAAAAUGCUUCCAGACAUUGGGAUAGCCAAAUCUCCAGAGUUUCAUUGGCAUGGCAGCAGGAACAGCCAAAAGACAAGGAUGGCCACGCUGAAGAAAAGGUGUGGGGAGUAGCGGGCAGGCCGGGCUGGAUCAGGAUCCUGCCUCAGGCCGGCCUGCUGGGCGUGCGUGUGAGUCUCCCAGAACGUUGUGGUCACAGGGACCCGGACAGCUGGACUACUCGUGUACCCGCGGGUGGCUGUGAUCCCGGGGUCUUCGUGGGAAGGAGCAGAACCCUGCAGCCGUAGGAAGUGCGCAUGGGUCCACCUGUGUGCUUCCGUGUCUCUGUGCGAGCUCGGUAUAUCUGUUGAGCGUUUCUCUGUGUGCGAGGGUGUCUGUGCCUGGGGCUCGUUGCCGUGUGUCUUCUGGUGGGAGGGCGUGUCUCUGCCCUGCAGCGGGGCUGCUUCCGGUCGGAUUUCCUUCCGGUGAGCCCUCCCUGCGCUCGCGUCUGCGCUGUGUGUGGGGAUGAAUUUCUCUUCUUAGGGCUUCCCUGUGGCUUCGUUCAUGGCUGGCUGAGCUGGCGGCUGCCUCAGCCCGGCAGGGGUAGGAAUAGCCUCCUCCUCCUGAGGGGCCACUUUCCCAGUGGAGGGGACAACACGACAGCAGCAAGAGAAACCUCAGGAGGAGCUCAUUCCCCAACUGCCAGCAGGUGCAGGCAGGUGUCAGGGAAGGUGAUCCUGAGUGCAUUUCCAUUGUCCCCUGGUGGUCACGUAGGACCUCAGCGUGGCCCAGUGACUGAGCAGCACACAAGGUGGGCACAGUGUCUUUCCCCCAACGGGGGACUCUCUGGCUCCCUCGACCAAGUGCGCACUCUUUGCCGCCCUCAGAUGGCAGUUGCGAGGCAUUGCUGUUGUGUGCGCUCCAGCCUGGCCACGUGCUCCAUCUUUUGGGGUUCUCCACCUUUCUAUGGGCCUAGACGGUUUUAUCUCUCGGUCCAUCUUUUCAAGGACAGACUUUCCAGAGUUCAUCCCGGGUAACAUUCUUGGGGAUCCUUCGCACAGAGGUUUCCUCCUGAACGAAUCGUCUUUAGUGCUGGAAAGCCUUGAUUAAUCUACAGAGCUGGGCUUCCAUCCCUUCUGCCAACAGGGCGACCUCUGUCCCAAUGCCCAAUCAGAAGGCUGCGUGAUUCACACAGGACCAGGUGCAGCACUGUAUGGCCUUUGCCUUCCAGUAAACAAGGUGUUGUUUGCACCUGCACUUUCCUUCUCCUUCGUGGGGGAUAUGCACUUGCUGUGAGUAUCCCGUGUGCCUUGUGGAGGGUGCCUAGGGGGUUGCUGCUUGAAAGCCUGGAAACUGCUUGCCACAGCUUUCCCAGAGAGGAAGGGACCAGGUAUUGUGUUGGUGCAGGAAGGGUGCCGGGUGGUGCUCCACCUGCGGGCUGCACUUUAGAAACCUCUUUUGUCUUCUUGCAAGACCCCUCCCAAUUUCCCGCGAAUCCACCAGAGGGCGCUCGAGGUCUAAGAUGUGCUUUGCUUUCCUUCUGUCUCUUGGAGUCUUCAGUGCCCCGGGAAGCUGCCCAUGUCCUCAUUGUCAGUCUUGAAAGAGCCUAAUCCUGCUCGACUGCAUUUGCCCUGCUGAGAUCCACUUCCCAUGUGGCCCAUCUGUGCUCGCCUCCGCUUCGUUUUUUGAGCUGGCCUGCUUCGCGUAUUUCCGCCUUUCUGCAUAAGCAGUGGAAACUGAAAGGCCCUGGGCUUUGAGACCAGCGC